rnacentral:rRNA from 1 species
GAUGAACGCUGGCGGCGUGCUUAACACAUGCAAGUCGAACGAAGCACUUUAACUUGAUUUCUUCGGAAUGAUUGUUCUUGUGACUGAGUGGCGGACGGGUGAGUAACGCGUGGGUAACCUGCCUCAUACAGGGGGAUAACAGUUAGAAAUGACUGCUAAUACCGCAUAAGCGCACGGUAUCGCAUGAUACAGUGUGAAAAACUCCGGUGGUAUGAGAUGGACCCCGCGUCUGAUUAGCUAGUUGGUGGGGUAACGGCCUACCAAGGCGACGAUCAGUAGCCGACCUGAGAGGGUGACCGGCCACAUUGGGACUGAGACACGGCCCAAACUCCUACGGGAGGCAGCAGUGGGGAAUAUUGCACAAUGGGCGAAAGCCUGAUGCAGCGACGCCGCGUGAAUGAAGAGUAUUUCGGAUGUAAAGUUCUAUCAGCAGGGAANAUAAUGACGGUACCUGACUAAGAAGCACCGGGCU